CUUUUUGUGAUGUCCACAGAAGUGCUCUGCUAACUAACUUUGAGGAGACUGGCAUUUUCCUAAUUAAUAGGAAAAAAACACAUUUCCUCUCUUAGGUUAAAUUUCUUCACACUUUUGCCUCUGCUGUUUCACAUCAGCUGACAUCUGAUUCAGCACAAACUGCCCAAGAAGAGGUCGUCCCCAUCGACAAUUCAGCACGAUUCACCUGGAAGAGCUACUGGAGGUUGACCCCAUCGACGAUUCAGCAUGACUCACCUGGAAAGAGCUGCUGGAGGUCAUCUCUGUCGACGAUUCAGGUGCUCUUCAACGGGUCUCUGGAGGUGCAGAAUGAUUAGAACCUCAGAACCAGAAAAAGUAAAGUGUAACUUUAAUGCUAGUACCCCUAGCCCUUGACUCCUGGAACUUAUGUGUUAAUAAUUCUUAU
rnacentral:lncRNA from 1 species